rnacentral:rRNA from 1 species
ACUCGAGUGGCGAACGGGUGAGUAACACGUGGGUGAUCUGCCCUGCACUUCGGGAUAAGCUUGGGAAACUGGGUCUAAUACCGGAUAGGAGCCAUCUUUAGUGUGGUGGUUGGAAAGUUUUUCGGUGUAGGAUGGGCUCGCGGCCUAUCAGCUUGUUGGUGGGGUAAUGGCCUACCAAGGCGGCGACGGGUAGCCGGCCUGAGAGGGUGUACGGCCACAUUGGGACUGAGAUACGGCCCAG